rnacentral:rRNA from 1 species
GAUGAACGCUGGCGGCGUGCCUAACACAUGCAAGUCGAGCGAACCCUUCGGGGUGAGCGGCGGACGGGUGAGUAACGCGUGGGUAACCUGCCCUAUACACACGGAUAAGGUACCGAAAGGUACGCUAAUACGGGGUAAAGUUGUUGGAUGGCAUCUUCUAACAAUCAAAGCUCCGGCGGUAUAGGAUGGACCCGCGUCUGAUUAGCUAGUUGGUGAGGUAAUGGCUCACCAAGGCGACGAUCAGUAGCCGACCUGAGAGGGUGAUCGGCCACACUGGAACUGAGACACGGUCCAGACUCCUACGGGAGGCAGCAGUGGGGAAUAUUGCACAAUGGGCGAAAGCCUGAUGCAGCAACGCCGCGUGAGCGAUGAGGGUCUUCGGAUCGUAAAGCUCUGUCCUCAAGGAAGAUAAUGACGGUACUUGAGGAGGAAGCCCCGGCUAACUACGUGCCAGCCGCCGCGGUAA